rnacentral:lncRNA from 1 species
UUUUCUUUCACUGUUCUCCUCAGGAAAUGAGAAUAUACUUGGGACUGGUCGGAGAACGGAUUGACGGUCCAGAUGGUUGUUUUAGUAGUCCUCACUAUUCUGUGAAAUAAUGUGAUAAUAAAUGUAAUGAGGACUCCAUUGAGUGUGGAUAUUGUCUAGAUAACAAUAUUCUUAUUAAAACUCUUAGAUUAUGUUUUGUC